AAGUAUCCACUGAGACUAAGUGGUUGAUAGGUUGGGGGUGUAAGUGUAGUGAUACAUUUAGCUGACCAAUACUAAUAAUACGUAGGCUUUUAUUAAAUA
rnacentral:rRNA from 1 species